rnacentral:lncRNA from 10 species
GUCAAGCCAUCCACUCACAGGACUUCUCAAGCUGGAGCCCUUAGUUGAGCUGAUUUUACACAAUCGAGUAGAGAAAGAAAAUGGCUUUUUGUGGAAGACCAGUGUCAAAAUAUUGAGCAACUCUCCUAAGAACAAGGCAUGCAAUCUCAAAUUCCUGGUUUUCAGAAAAGGUUAAUUGGACAAGCAAAAACAAGGAGCCAACUUAUUGGGGAGAACUGGAGGCCUAGGAAAAAGAAAAGGCCCAACUUUCUAUCCCCAACAGACACUUUGGGAACUGAUAAAAUUAAACAUUUUUCAAAGACCCUCCAUUUCCUAUUACCACAAGAAAGUCAAAAUAUUUCUAUCUUUUAAUUUAACUUUAUCUUGCUUUUCUUUUUGAAAUUUUAAUUUAGGGCAAUAUUUCUGAGGGAUGCUAUUUUUUUUUAAAUACCUUCUUUCCUUCAGCUAAUGUAAAACAAAUAGUUACUCCUGGAAAUUACUUUUUACUAUUGGUUCCAAAGCUACAAUUUGCAGCAAAUAAAAGGACUCUUCCCUUCUACAGAAACAUUCAGACAACUACAUAUUGAGAGGAAGGUUUAUGUGUACUUGGAGCCUUUGGGUGAUGUUCUCUUUGGCCAUAUGAUGUGGUACUCCCAUCAGCCUGCCAUUUAGUGACUCCUAUCAAAGCAAACCUCUCUAAAAACAGACACUUCAAAGAAGAUGACUAAUUGUGGGUGCCAACUGGAUGCUGAAUUGCUGAAUUUCUGAAUGGUUUCCAUCUCAUUUUCCAAAGAAAAUGUAAAAUUUCAGAGUAAAAUUGCCACUUUUCUUUUUUCACGAUGUAGUAUUUGGUGGCUUUUAAAUUCACAGCCUUCUAUUCUUGGAAUUUUUUAAAUUUUAAAUUAACUUUCCUUCCUUCAUU